GACGAACGCUGGCGGCGUGCUUAACACAUGCAAGUCGAACGGAAAGGCCCUGCUUUUGUGGGGUGCUCGAGUGGCGAACGGGUGAGUAACACGUGAGUAACCUUCCCUUGACUUUGGGAUAACUUCAGGAAACUGGGGCUAAUACCGGAUAGGAGCUCCUGCUGCAUGGUGGGGGUUGGAAAGUUUCGGCGGUUGGGGAUGGACUCGCGGCUUAUCAGCUUGUUGGUGGGGUAGUGGCUUACCAAGGCUUUGACGGGUAGCCGGCCUGAGAGGGUGACCGGCCACAUUGGGACUGAGAUACGGCCCAGACUCCUACGGGAGGCAACAGUGGGGAAUAUUGCACAAUGGGCGGAAGCCUGAUGCAGCAACGCCGCGUGCGGGAUGACGGCCUUCGGGUUGUAAACCGCUUUCGCCUGUGACGAAGCGUGAGUGACGGUAAUGGGUAAAGAAGCACCGGCUAACUACGU
rnacentral:rRNA from 1 species